CCGGGCACUGUUGCUGCUGCGGGAGGGAGAAGGCUGAGCAGACCAUCUGGAACCGUUUACAUCAGCUUAAAGCCUUGAAGACAAGGCGGCCCCGCUCCCGGGUUCCUCUGAGGAUUGGAAUUCUAGGUCGAUCAUGCGAGGCUGUGACAACAUGUGUAGCUACUGCAUUGUUCCUUUCACCCGGGGCAGGGAGAGGAGUCGGCCUAUUGCCUCCAUUCUAGAGGAAGUGAAGAAGCUUUCUGAGCAGGGGCUGAAAGAAGUGACACUUCUUGGUCAGAAUGUUAAUAGUUUUUGGGACAAUUCAGAGGUCCAGUUCAACAAUGCAGUACCUACCAAUCUCAGUCGUGGCUUUACCACCAACUAUAAAACCAAGCAAGGAGGACUUCGUUUUGCUCAUCUUCUGGAUCAGGUCUCCAGAGUAGAUCCUGAAAUGAGGAUCCGCUUUACCUCUCCCCACCCCAAGGAUUUUCCCGAUGAGGUUCUGCAGCUGAUUCAUGAGAGAGAUAACAUCUGUAAACAGAUCCACCUGCCAGCCCAGAGUGGAAGCAGCCGUGUGUUGGAGGCCAUGCGGAGGGGAUAUUCAAGAGAAGCUUAUGUGGAGUUAGUUCACCAUAUUAGAGAAUCUAUUCCAGGUGUGAGCCUUAGCAGCGAUUUCAUUGCUGGCUUUUGUGGUGAGACGGAGGAAGAUCACGUCCAGACAGUCUCUUUGCUCCGGGAAGUUCAGUACAACAUGGGCUUCCUCUUUGCCUACAGCAUGAGACAG
rnacentral:sRNA from 1 species